rnacentral:rRNA from 1 species
UGGGGAAUAUUGCACAAUGGGCGCAAGCCUGAUGCAGCCAUGCCGCGUGUAUGAAGAAGGCCUUCGGGUUGUAAAGUACUUUCAGCGAGGAGGAAGGCGAUGCGGUUAAUAACCGUGUCGAUUGACGUUACUCGCAGAAGAAGCACCGGCUAACUCCGUGCCAGCAGCCGCGGUAAUACGGAGGGUGCAAGCGUUAAUCGGAAUUACUGGGCGUAAAGCGCACGCAGGCGGUCUGUCAAGUCGGAUGUGAAAGCCCCGGGCUCAACCUGGGAGCUGCAUUCGAAACUGGCAGGCUUGAGUCUUGUAGAGGGGGGUAGAAUUCCAGGUGUAGCGGUGAAAUGCGUAGAGAUCUGGAGGAAUACCGGUGGCGAAGGCGGCCCCCUGGACAAAGACUGACGCUCAGGUGCGAAAGCGUGGGGAGCAAACA